rnacentral:rRNA from 1 species
GUUGGUGAGGUAACGGCUCACCAAGGCGACGAUCCCUAGCUGGUCUGAGAGGAUGACCAGCCACACUGGAACUGAGACACGGUCCAGACUCCUACGGGAGGCAGCAGUGGGGAAUAUUGCACAAUGGGCGCAAGCCUGAUGCAGCCAUGCCGCGUGUAUGAAGAAGGCCUUCGGGUUGUAAAGUACUUUCAGCGGGGAGGAAGGUGUUGUGGUUAAUAACCACAGCAAUUGACGUUACCCGCAGAAGAAGCACCGGCUAACUCCGUGCCAGCAGCCGCGGUAAUACGGAGGGUGCAAGCGUUAAUCGGAAUUACUGGGCGUAAAGCGCACGCAGGCGGUCUGUCAAGUCGGAUGUGAAAUCCCCGGGCUCAACCUGGGAACUGCAUUCGAAACUGGCAGGCUUGAGUCUUGUAGAGGGGGGUAGAAUUCCAGGUGUAGCGGUGAAAUGCGUAGAGAUCUGGAGGAAUACCGGUGGCGAAGGCGGCCCCCUGGACAAAGACUGACGCUCAGGUGCGAAAGCGUGGGGAGCAAACAGGAUUAGAUACCCUGGUAGUCCACGCCGUAAACGAUGUCUACUUGGAGGUUGUGCCCUUGAGGCGUGGCUUCCGGAGCUAACGCGUUAAGUAGACCGCCUGGGGAGUACGGCCGCAAGGUUAAAACUCAAAUGAAUUGACGGGGGCCCGCACAAGCGGUGGAGCAUGUGGUUUAAUUCGAUGCAACGCGAAGAACCUUACCUGGUCUUGACAUCCACAGAACUUUCCAGAGAUGGAUUGGUGCCUUCGGGAACUGUGAGACAGGUGCUGCAUGGCUGUCGUCAGCUCGUGUUGUGAAAUGUUGGGUUAAGUCCCGCAACGAGCGCAACCCUUAUCCUUUGUUGCCAGCGAUUAGGUCGGGAACUCAAAGGAGACUGCCAGUGAUAAACUGGA